rnacentral:rRNA from 1 species
CCCUCAUUUUGUGUUGGACGGCGCCGUCGGUCGAGGGCGCUGGGCACAGAAGACGGGCUGCGGGUAGCAGCAGGAGGCGGGGGGCGAUAACAGGUCUGUGAUGCCCUUAGGUGCGCUGGGCUGCACGCGUGCUACAAUGGGCGGGGGAGAGAGGUGCGCCGAGAGGUGCGCGGAAGCAGGAGGCCCGCCCGAGGUGGGGAUACACGGUUGUGAAUGCGUGUUGAACGAGGAAUUCCUAGUAGCCGCGUGUCACCAACGCGCGGCGACUGCGUCCCUGUCCUUUGUACACACCGCCCGUCGCUAUCUAAGAUGGCCGCCGGGGCGAAGGCGGGUGCGUCUGAGCCCCGGGCGCUAGAUUGGAUAAAAGUCG